rnacentral:rRNA from 1 species
UACGAAGGGGCUAGCGUUGCUCGGAAUUACUGGGCGUAAAGCGCACGUAGGCGGCUCUUUAAGUCGGGGUGAAAUCCUGGAGCUCAGCUCCAGAACUGCCUUCGAUACUGUAGAGCUUGAGUUCGGGAGAGGUGAGUGGAACUGCGAGUGUAGAGGUGAAAUUCGUAGAUAUUCGCAAGAACACCAGUGGCGAAGGCGGCUCACUGGCCCGAUACUGACGCUGAGGUGCGAAAGCGUGGGGAGCAAACAGG